GAUGAACGCUGGCGGCGUGCCUAAUACAUGCAAGUCGAGCGAAUGGAUUAAGAGCUUGCUCUUAUGAAGUUAGCGGCGGACGGGUGAGUAACACGUGGGUAACCUGCCCAUAAGACUGGGAUAACUCCGGGAAACCGGGGCUAAUACCGGAUAAUAUUUUGAACUGCAUGGUUCAAAAUUGAAAGGCGGCUUCGGCUGUCACUUAUGGAUGGACCCGCGUCGCAUUAGCUAGUUGGUGAGGUAACGGCUCACCAAGGCAACGAUGCGUAGCCGACCGGGGAGGGUGAGCGGCCACACUGGGACUGAGGCACGGCCCAGACUCCUACGGGAGGCAGCAGUAGGGAAUCUUCCGCAAUGGACGAAAGUCUGACGGAGCAACGCCGCGUGAGUGAUGAAGGCUUUCGGGUCGUAAAACUCUGUUGUUAGGGAAGAACAAGUGCUAGUUGAAUAAGCUGGCACCUUGACGGUACCUAACCAGAAAGCCACGGCUAACUGCGUGCCAGCAGCCGCGGUAA
rnacentral:rRNA from 1 species